rnacentral:tRNA from 1 species
GCGGUUGUGGCGGAAUUGGCAGACGCGCAGGAUUUAGGUUCCUGUGUUGCAAGACGUAGGGGUUCAAGUCCCCUCAGCCGCA